UUCUAUUAAUUCUGGAUUAUUUUGCUAUUUGACAGAAUCUGCUGCUGCAACCUUAAUCAAGUGAAUCUGCUCAAACAAAGUUUGAUUGGUGACAUCAUGGAUGCACAGAAGCCUGCAGAAAUGUCUAAUGUGAAUAACUAUUGGUCAGAGGUUGAUUUGUUUACUGAUGCAGAUUUUGUAUCAGUAGCACCCCAUGUCGAAGCCGGGGGAAGUUCUGAGACUCAGGCCAAGAUUGAUCUAUUUGCCUCUCAACCUGCUUCUGCAGUGUCAGUAGACUUUUUUGCUGCUCUCGAUAAUUGCACAGCCAGAGAAUGCCAUCAAAAUCUGACACUAUGAACACCACCAAUAUUGUUUAUCUGUUUACUGUUGUUUUGCUGAACAAUUUUGAUGGGUCUGAUGUUUAUGGCGCUUCUUCUCAAAGUGAUUCAUCAUCUACAUAACCCAGUCCUGAUGGCAGCCAUAACAACUUGAAUGCAAAUUCUUCAACUGAACCUAAGCCUCCACCCAAGAAGGAUAAUUUCACAGUGAAGUCCUGCAAUGGGCAGAUACUCUAAGUUGAGGCUGGUCAAUCUUAAUAUAUCUACUCCAAACUGAUUGAAACCGAGGACUUUUGUCAACCCAAUUGCUGACUAGUCUUUAGCAGACGUUGGAGUUGUGGUUGAGUGAUGGAUCAGAUGAAAUGGAGAAGGGACCCCAGCUUCAUUUUACAUGGGGAGAUCCAUGGGUUCAGGUUCUGGUCUUGGCAGAUCGGAGCUUGCAUCAUCAAUAGCAAUGGGUGUAGAUGAUGAUAUUCACAAAUAAAUUGGUGACCUCCAAAAAUAAUUUUGUUAAUUUUCUCAAUUCAUAAACCAAUUGUCUUCUAUAUUCUUAUAUGUCUUCUGUUAAAACUUGGUAUAUUGUAGAUGUACUUCAGCCAUGUCCAUUUAAUGAAUGUUCAAAUUUGUUAGAAUCCA